rnacentral:misc_RNA from 1 species
UCUCCGUAGGUGAACCUGCGGAGGGAUCAUUACAGAGUUCAUGCCCUUCGGGGUAGAUCUCCCACCCUGUGUAUUAUUACCUUUGUUGCUUUGGCGGGCCGCUGGCCUCAGCCGCCGCCCCCCCGCGGGCGGCGUGUCGCCCGCCGAUGGACCUUUGAACCCUGGCUUUUGCAGUGAUGUCCGAGCCAUAUACGAGAAAUCGCAUAAAACUUUCAACAACGGAUCUCUUGGUUCCAGGAUCGAUGAAGAACGCAGC